GCUUCAACUUCUCACUUCAGAUUCUUCUUCUCACCCUCUCCUCUCUCUGUCUCUCCCUCUUCCUCCCGAUGCAGACAGGGGCGACGGCGCCGGCCUCGGCGGCGCGCGGCGGUGGCGGCUGCCUUCCUCCUCGUCCUCUUCCUCGCCUGGCUCUCACCUCCGUUUCUCCCGCCCCUUCCUCUCUCUCUCUCCCUCUCUCUCCCCUUCCAUCAUGGUGCGCCGGCGGGCACGAGGCGAGGGCGCCCCCCCUGCAGGCGGCGCUCCAGCACGGGUAGGAUCCAGCGGCCCUCCUACCUCUCCCCCAUCCUCCGCACGGGCUCCUCAAGACCUCCUCCCACCAGAAAACAUGUGCUUCGCUCCUCUAUGAAACCCUAGCUAUCUAUAUGCGGCCUUCUUCUGAUUUGGUUUCUGUUGAUUUCAGCUUCCUUCCUUUUCUUCCUUAGGGUUCCUCUACGAACCCCAUGUUUGAUGCCUUCCUUUGAUGCGUGCUUGUUGUGUUGUUGCUGUUAUUUGUGCCAUGUUUCGCUUCUGCGAUUUCAGGUAUCGGCGGUCAUGAGGCUUCUGCCUCUUUGUCCCUGCUUGCUCAACAUGGCAAGGAGCUCCUGCAUAAUAUUGAUCCCAUUGUACUUUCUGAUAUUGCACUGACCAUCUUCCAAAUUAGAGCUUGCAAGAGCGAGAGGGAAGGAUUUUAUAUUUCUUUUUCCUAUGUACUGUAGUUUUGUGUUCAUGCAUGGUUUAUUCCAUAUUUGGGUUCUUAAGACUUCUCAUUUUCGUCAUCUUAACACUGAUUAGUUUCCGGUGUGGCUAUAGUGAAUGACUAGAAAUCUACUUUCCUCAGGGUACUACUCAAUCCUAUAGUCAUUGUGCCCCCUUAAUAUCUACUGGUUGCUACCAUUAUUUUUGUUCAUAUUUAUUUGCAGGGGGCAAAGUUUUGCGGUAACUAAGGAGAUUCUUGCCAAAUUUUUGUGGCUAUGGUUCCAUGACAUGUUUCGAUUUUGUCGAAGUGUAAUUUACUUUUUGGUGUCAGGUGCAGCAGCACUUCAUUUGGUGAUAGUUUGUACCUAAGAAGCAUAAAUGCCCAGUGAGUUUCCCAUGUGCCUUGUACUUUCCCUAACAAUUAUUUAUGCAUUCAUGGCUGAUCCGAGUUCCCAA